GUUUCAUUUAAAAUUUGAAUAGAAUUUUAUUUUUUAGUUAAAAAGCUAAAAUAAUAUCAAAAGACGAGAAGACCCUAUAAAUCUUAAUUAUUAAUUUAUUAUUAAUUUAUUUGGAUAGAUUUUAUUAUUAGUUUAUUAUUAAUUUUAUUGGGGUGAUAUUAAAAUUUAUUUAACUUUUAAUUUUUUUAUACAUUUAUUUAUGAUUUAAUGAUCCAUUUUUAGUGAUUAAAAAAUUAAGUUACUUUAGGGAUAACAGCGUAAUUUUUUUGGAGAGUUCUUAUCGAUAAGAAAGUUUGCGACCUCGAUGUUGGAUUAAGAUUCAUAUUUAAAUGAAGAAGUUUAAAUAUCAAGUCUGUUCGACUUUUUAUUCUUACAUGAUCUGAGUUCAAACCGGUGUAAGCCAGGUUGGUUUCUAUCUUUGAUUUUGGAAAUAUUUUAGUACGAAAGGAAUUAAUAUUUAAUUUAAAAUUUUAUUUUUGAAU
rnacentral:rRNA from 1 species